rnacentral:rRNA from 1 species
GUGCCAGCAGCCGCGGUAAUACGUAGGGGGCAAGCGUUGUCCGGAAUUAUUGGGCGUAAAGCGCGCGCAGGCGGUCCUUUAAGUCUGAUGUGAAAGCCCACGGCUUAACCGUGGAGGGUCAUUGGAAACUGGAGGACUUGAGUACAGAAGAGGAGAGUGGAAUUCCACGUGUAGCGGUGAAAUGCGUAGAGAUGUGGAGGAACACCAGUGGCGAAGGCGACUCUCUGGUCUGUAACUGACGCUGAGGUGCGAAAGCGUGGGUAGCGAACAGGAUUAGAUACCCUGGUAGUCC